GCGUUACAUUAUCGGAAACUCGUCUCACUGCUGCUGGCACAGGAAAUUGUAGACAUUGAAACCGGUCUUACCGCUACAAGCAGGUCGAUGUUUUAUGGAUCAAAAACAGAAAAUGGGUUGAAAAAUUCAGCAGCCCUGGCAUCAACUCAGCGUCCGUGGAGAGAAAGCACAUCCAGUGACCCUUCUUCAGAACGGACCCGAAAUUUUAACCAGACCUGCUGAGUUUUUCCAACAGCUUCUGCUCGUUUCCGAUUUCCGGCAUCCGUAGUUCUUUGGAUGUUGUUUUCUUUUGUUUGGUGUUGUAUGGGAUGGCUUAUUCUUGUUAGAUCUUUCACAGACGAGCGGUAGGGGUUGGAACUAAAGCAGGCUGUGUCCAACCUGAUUUAAAAAUAAACGCUUACCUCUCACCAGGCAAUCUAGAGAAAAUCUUAACGACGCAACAUGAGAAAGACAAGGAGAGCCCACACCCACUUGUGCUAUCAGUUAUAGGAGUAAUAUGAGGAAUGAGAUUUUUAACGCUCCUUAAAUAAUCUCGACAUUCUAUCAUCAUUACGUUGGAGCUCAAACUGAAACGGAGUAGUUUUGGUUGAAAGAAUACAUUUAACCUAUCAGUAAUGAGAAAUAACUUAGAUCCGUUUACAGAUCCAAUAAUAGAAAGUGCCAAAUCAUUGCUUGGAUAGCGUAAUUAAUAACUAGAGAUUACCCAAAACUUUUUAUUCUAUUUACACUAAGAUUUUUUGUACCUGACAUGGAUAAUAUUCAAAUACAGCACACAGCUAUCUCUAUCUUCCUGCUGGAUUGUUGGCUGUAGCUGACGUUUUAUUGCUAUGCGAUGAUAGUAGUAUGAGGUAAAUUGUUGCUCAAAAGGUGAAGGUUAUAGAUCUUAGUGGGAAUCAAAACAGCAGAUUCAUGAAACUUUUCUGAUGCAGGGUCCAGGUCCGAAACAUCAGCUUUUGUGCUCCUGAGAUGCUGCUUGGCCUGCUGUGUUCAUCCAGCCUCACAUUUUAUUAUCUUGGAAUUCUCCAGCAUCUGCAGUUCCCAUUAUCUCUGAAGGUUAUACACUUGCUCAUUGGGUUCUAAAAGCUCAUUUCCCACAGUACGGUUUCCCAGAGAGAGCAGAUGAUUGAUUUAUGUAAGUUAAUGAAUCUUUGAGUGGGUUAAAAUUGGGCCAUGGGUUUGAGAAAUGGUCCAGAACUCAAUAUACUGCUUCAGCCCUUUGUAAGUACAGCUCACUCUGGUCUGAAGUUGUACUCUGUGGUCUCCAUUUAGCUUUUCUGUACUCGUGUCAGACGGAGACUUGAAUCUGUUUGUUUUGCUGCUAUUGUCACAUUGCUGUCAUCCAGAAAAAUCAAUUUCACAAAAUGCUUCCUGAACAUCCUGCUGGUAAUAAUAUUUAAUGCAUUCACCCAAAAACAAGUAGGACUUGUCGAAUGAUUGAAUUAAGAAUUUUUAGCACUCAGUUGUACAGAAUAUGACAACACUAUCAACAUAUUAAAAACAUUUUACUACUUUUUACCAUCCUUUUUAGAAUUGUCGAAUCACAAAGAAGAGGCCAUUAAGCUGCUUGAGCUGUUCCAUCAAUUGCCUAGAUCUUAGUGGGAAUCAAAACAGCAGAUUCAUGAAACUUUUCUGAUGCAGGGUCCAGGUCCGAAACAUCAGCUUUUGUGCCCCUAAGAUGCUGCUUGGCCUGCUGUGUUCAUCCAGCUCUACACUGUGUUACCCUUUGUGUGAACAUUGCUUCUGGAUUCAUUGAGUGUCUAAUAUAACUCUAAUUUUAAGAAAACUGUUUUAGAUUCCCUGAAUCUCCUGAGGCCAAACCUGCCAGCUCAGGUCCAGAAGUAAUUUCUUAGCACAGGAACCAACAGAGAGACCUGUAAAGAAAACCAUUGCUGAGGACACAGUCCCAUUUCACAACUUCAGCUCCUACCUUUAGUCUUAUUACCUAAAUCUGAUGUGAUACUCUUCUGCUACCAAAAGCUGAAUUGGAUUUUCUGAAGGUUUAAGACACUCCAGUAUUGAAGAACAAUUAUCAAAGAGAGUCUGGUAUUCGCUUUAUCAGCUUGUGAGAAAAAAUCACAAAUGAAAUUAGGAGGAAUACCAAAAUAUAUUGCAGUGUGAUCUUAUUUUCUCAUUCGAUGGCAAUGAAUGCAGAUCCAGUUCGGAAAAAUGUCAUUAUUAUUCUUGCUUGGAAAAGAUGUGGAAAGUCACAUCUAUGUGGGACAAUCACUAGAGCAAGAAAAUGCUCAAUUUGAGGAUUUAAUCUGUCAAGAUUUUAUGGACACUUCU